rnacentral:rRNA from 1 species
ACCGCAGAAGAAGCACCGGCUAACUCCUUCCAGCAGCCGCGGUAUUCGGAGGGUGCAAAGCCGUUAAUCGGAAUUACUGGGCGUAAAGCGCACGCAGGGCGGUCUGUCAAGUCGGAUGUGAAAUCCCCGGGCUCAACCUGGGAACUGCAUUCGAAACUGGCAGGCUAGAGUCUUGUAGAGGGGGGUAGAAUUCCAGGUGUAGCGGUGAAAUGCGUAGAGAUCUGGAGGAAUACCGGUGGCGAAGGCGGCCCCCUGGACAAAGACUGACGCUCAGGUGCGAAAAGCGUGGGGAGCAAACAGGAUUAGAUACCCUGGUAGUCCACGCCGUAAACGAUGUCGAUUUGGAGGUUGUGCCCUUGAGGCGUGGCUUCCGGAGCUAACGCGUUAAAUCGACCGCCUGGGGAGUACGGCCGCAAGGUUAAAACUCAAAUGAAUUGACGGGGGCCCGCACAAGCGGUGGAGCAUGUGGUUUAAUUCGAUGCAACGCGAAGAACCUUACCUGGUCUUGACAUCCACAGAACUUUCCAGAGAUGGAUUGGUGCCUUCGGGAACUGUGAGACAGGUGCUGCAUGGCUGUCGUCAGCUCGUGUUGUGAAAUGUUGGGUUAAGUCCCGCAACGAGCGCAACCCUUAUCCUUUGUUGCCAGCGGUUAGGCCGGGAACUCAAAGGAGACUGCCAGUGAUAAACUGGAGGAAGGUGGGGAUGACGUCAAGUCAUCAUGGCCCUUACGACCAGGGCUACACACGUGCUACAAUGGCAUAUACAAAGAGAAGCGACCUCGCGAGAGCAAGCGGACCUCAUAAAGUAUGUCGUAGUCCGGAUUGGAGUCUGCAACUCGACUCCAUGAAGUCGGAAUCGCUAGUAAUCGUAGAUCAGAAUGCUACGGUGAAUACGUUCCCGGGCCUUGUACACACCGCCCGUCACACCAUGGGAGUGGGUUGCAAAAGAAGUAGGUAGCUUAACCUUCGGGAGGGCGCUUACCACUUUGAAUCCUGGGUCG